rnacentral:tRNA from 1 species
UGAGGAUGCAGCUCAGUGGCAGAGCACUUGCCUAGCACACUUGAGACCCUGGGUUCCAUGCCCAGCCCCUCAA